GGGGAUGACUUGGCUUCGACAGGGAUAGGUUGAGCUUGAGUUGCGAGCCGAGAGGCAAUCUCGUAAAAUGGCCACGCCAAUAAUAACUGGCAAAACUAACGAAAACCUCGCAGUAGCAGCAUAAUAACUGACUAAUGCGGAUCCCGCACUCGAUCGCCCAUGUCGAGUGAUUUGGGGUCUCACCUAAUAGUGGGCUACGCAGCUCCGAUCUCCGCCUGAGGUCGGCUGAAGAGACUAAUCAGGCUAGCUGUGCUGAAGCCUGUUGCUAGGCUGAAGCAUAGGCGAAAUAUAAUAUAGCGACUACGCUCGUAGAAGCUCAAGUGGCGAUAUCUCUGGACGUGGGUUCGAAUCCCACCAUCUCCACCA
rnacentral:tmRNA from 1 species